rnacentral:misc_RNA from 1 species
CAGAGUUGCAAGACUCCCUAAACCAUUGUGAACGCUACCUCAGACGUCGUUGCUUCGGCGGCGGCCAUCGCCCCCGCCCCCGCGGGCGCCGCCGAGGAUACCAGACUCUUGACAGUUAUUGGCCUCUCUGAGUAUGCUUUACUGAAUAAGUCA